rnacentral:rRNA from 1 species
CAGCCGCCGCGGUAAUACCGGCGGCCCGAGUGGCGGUCACUAUUAUUGGGCUUAAAGCGUCCGUAGCCGGGUUGGGAAGUCCUCCGGGAAAUCUGGCCGCUUAACGGUCAGAAUGCCGGAGGAUACUCCCAGCCUAGGGAGCGGGAGAGGCCGAGGGUAUUCCCGGAGUAGGGGUGAAAUCCUAUAAUCCCGGGAGGACCACCUGUGGCGAAGGCGCUCGGCUGGAACGCGUCCGACGGUGAGGAACGAAGGCCAGGGGAGCAAACCGGAUUAGAUACCCGGGUAGUCCUGGCUGUAAACGAUGCGGACUUUGUGUCGGACAAGCUAUGAGCUUGUCCGGUGCCGGAGGGAAACCGUUAAGUCCGCCGCCUGGGGAGUACGGCCGCAAGGCUGAAACUUAAAGGAAUUGGCGGG